rnacentral:lncRNA from 1 species
GCAUUACAACGCGUUUCAUACACGGUAAUCUCAUCAGCGUAAAUCAGUCUUCUUGUCUCAAACAGGUUCGUCUCCAUCAUCACACAAAGAAACCCACAGGAGCAAACCUGGAGGUCAGAACCACUGCCAAUAACCCGAUGUAAAAGGUGUGUGCUGUGACCCAGCCAUGUGGGCUUUCAGCAUCAAGUCCUUCUUUGUGCCGGAGCUCCCUGACGGACUUCAGACAAGGCUAUGUGAAAGGCAUCUUGUGGAGGAGAGCAGUCCUGCUUUCCUUCCCAUCCCUGCUGAUUCUUGGUACCAUUGUGCUGGUCCUCACAUUCCUCUUGCAGAACAGGUAGGAGACCAAGUCCAUUAAGGGUUGCAAAGAACUUGGAAACCGUGGUGAUGGACAGCGUACAUACUGCAAGUAGUGAUAUAUGAUCUGGAAAUAAAGUAUAAAUAAACGUUAGGAAGAUUACA